CACGGAAAGUGCCCCGAGAAAGAGUGGAGAAAAAGAAAGAAAAGACAAUUGCCUGGCCAGGGGUAUCACGCCACCAAACGCGUAUGUGUCGUGCCUUUCAAAAAGUGCCGGUCAAGGUCUAAUUUGAAAUCA
ensembl:ncRNA C54G7.16 ncRNA